UGGGGAAUCUUGCGCAAUGGUCUAACGACUGACGCAGCGACGCCGCGUGUGGGAUGACGCCUUUCGGGGUGUAAACCACUGUUGCCCGGGACGAAACGCCACCUUUGGGUGGCUUGACGGUACCGGGUGAGGAAGCACCGGCUAACUCCGUGCCAGCAGCCGCGGUAAUACGGAGGGUGCGAGCGUUGUCCGGAAUCACUGGGCGUAAAGGGCGCGUAGGCGGCUGGUGAAGGCUUGUGUGAAAGUCCGGGGCUCAACCCCGGAUCGGCACGGGCGACUCGCUGGCUGGAGCCCACUAGAGGCGGGUGGAAUUCCGGGUGUAGCGGUGGAAUGCGUAGAGAUCCGGAAGAACACCGGUGGCGAAGGCGGCCCGCUGGGGUGGAGCUGACGCUGAGGCGCGACAGCGUGGGGAGCAAACAG
rnacentral:rRNA from 1 species